GGGUAGGUCUUGCACGACUAGCUCCCGUUGAAUCCCCCAGGUCGGGAACGAAGCAAGGGUAGAUGGUCGUAGCAGUGCGAUGUGAGUAACCUACCCACU
rnacentral:SRP_RNA from 1 species